CUUGGUGCGAGGUCCUGCAGCUGUGCUCCCCCCUGCCAGAAGCAGUCCCUGCAAGAAUGCUCACAUCCUCCAUUCCUCACCUCCCGAUGAGGGGAGGUUUAUGACCCUGGAGAGCAGGUGGCAGGCCCUGAGUACAGCUUGGCGAUUGGGACUGAGUGAGUGACGCACUUCUCCUUCACAGACCAGUCUCUCCCACACAAGGCCACAUCCUGGGCACCACUCAAGUCAGCACGUCAAAGAGACACCUGUACUCCCCCGUUCACCACAGCACCACUCACAAAGGCCAAGACACGAAAUCAACCCAAAUGUCCAACACUGGAGGAGUGGGCAGAGAUAAUGUGGUGGAUAUGUAUAGACAAGAGAAUACUACUCAGCCGUAAAAAGACUCCACUCCUGUCAUCUGAAGCAGCACGAUGAACAAGAAGGACAUUGCAUCAUGUGAAAUAAUCUAGAGAGGAGCUCCAAGUGGCAGAUAUGACUGCUCGGCUCACUGGUCUAUCCCAAAUGCUGAGAACACAUGGGAGAGAUUGCUGCACGACAGAGUGAAUUCUUCUGAGGCAUCCAGGGAGAGAAACUGCAUCCUAUGGCCACCACGACCACAGACCCACGGGAAUACUGCCAGGCCGCUGCCAGUGCUCCCUUCAAGCCCAGGAACUCUUCAGUCAGCUUGUGGUGAAUGCUGCCUGGCCUGGCACUCACCCUUUCAGGCAGGGGGCUCCCCUCUGGCCCAGGACAGGUCCAGAAAUGCUGCCUGAGAGCCAAGGCCUGGAAUUGAGACCCCAAGAGCCCGCUUGGUGCUCUGUCCCACUGUGGCUGAGCUGGGACCUAAGGUGCAAGACAAAGUCCCCUUUAUUUUUUCUCUGUUUUUCUCAAGCAGAAGGAGUCUUGCCCUGUAGCCACCACAGCUGGGAAUGUGCCAGGUCACACCUGAAGCCAGCACGUCUCUGAGUCUCACCCAAGGCCUGAAACUCCUGGGUAUCUCUACCGCUCCUUCAGGGCCCAACGGCUCCUCUGUCAGUAGGUAAUGGCUCCUACUUGGACCACGUCCUUCAACAGGGCACUUGUUGUUUUUUUUUUGUUUUGUUUUUUAUCCUAAGACAGGGUCUUGCUCUGUUGCCCAGGCUGGAGUGCAGUGGCAUGAUCUUGGCUCACUACAACCUCCACCUCCCAGGUUCAAGCAACUCUCCUGCCUCAGGGCGGUGCUCUUGUGCUGAGACAGCUCUGGAAAGUGUGGAGUUUCCAGCUGGGCUGGGGCUUUUGCCCAACAUGAUCAGGCUGAGCUGGAGCAGCCUUGAUCUCAGAUGUGGGUCUAUUCAAGGGCAGGUUCACCACGGUGCCAAGGAAAGAUGCCUGAGGACACCUGAGUGGCCUCAUUCUACACCUUCCUGAUGGCAGUGGCCUCAUUCUGCACCUCCUGAUGGCAGUGGCCUCAUUCUGCACCUUCCUGACGGCAGUGGCCUCAUUCUGCACCUUCCUGACAGCAAUGCAGCCCCCAACGGUGAUCCAUUUUUUCUGAAUAUGCAAAAAAUAUCAACUCCAUAAAAGACUCGUGUCUAGUUAAUAAUCCAAACAGGAUUGAGAAGUCCUGCUUUGGAAAUGAGAAGAGAGGAAGUGUCCCCAGGGCUUCGGUCCUGGCAGGCAUAUCCAUUAUGGCUCCACUCGCUAAAUGAACAGCCUGGCUCACAGCAGGCCCUAGACCAUCCUAAACCCUUCCAUUAAUCAAAUUGCUUGGAUUAAAUAGAACAGCAAAGCAGUGAUCUUGAGAAUGAUCUAAUAAUAUUGUGAUUGCUUUGAAGAUUAAGUGAAAAUAUCAAAGGAGGUUAACCUAAUCUCCUUCCCACCCCAAAUGUAAAUAUACAGUAUUGGAUUCCCACUGAGAACUGGGAACCUUUUGGGAGGUGGCUCCACUAAUCACUCUUCCUGUGACAAUCUAGAGAGCCUAAUUAAAGAUUCUAGGGGCUGGAGAACAUUGGCUCUUGGGAACAUGUGGGCAGCAGGAAACUGAGCUCUUUUGGAGUGGCUGUGAUGGGCGUUCCCAGGCAGGACUGCCCACUUUCUCUGGGUGGACUGGAUGGAAGCUUUGAUAACCGCAUGUGAAAAGCACUGCAUCUAUUUUUCUUCCUCUAUACAUUUUCUACCAGAGGUUCACGCAGACUCAGGGAGGUGGUUUCUAUCGUGGAAGAUCAGGUUUCCCAAAUGGUGUGCAGAAUAUCCGGGACUCAUUCUUCCAAUCCUGCCUCAUACAGACUGAGAACUUCUAAUUCAAAAUGCUUGGGACCAGAAGUGUUUCAGAUUUCAGAGUUUUUUCAGACUUUUGAAAUAUUUGCAUAUACAUAGUAAAAUAUCUUGAGGGUCCAGCACAAGUCUAAACAUGAAAUUCAUGCAUGCUUCAUGUACGCCGUGUACACAUAGCCCAAAUGCAUGCUUCAUGUACACCUUAUACACAUAGCCUAGAGGUAAAUUUAUACAUUUUACAUCAUUUGAGACAUAAAACAAAAUUCAUGUACAUCAAACCAUCAGGAAGCAAAGGUGCCACUAUCUCAGCCACAUAUACGGAUAAGCUGGGAAUAUUUCACAUCACCAUCUCUCCUGGCUCUGAAUUUAUCUGCUACCAAUAAGCAGUCCUUUCCUCACGCUUACUUACACAGAGUACGUGACAGUAAGGAACACUCCAUCCCAUUAAAACAGUGAAGAGUAACGAGUCCAGGGUUAGUAGCAGCAUGGUGGCAUCAGCCAUCAGACAGCAGCUGCAGGGAACAGCGGCAUCUUCAGUAUCCACCAACAGUGCUGGGCUUGGUUAAAAGGUGACCAUACGCUGGAGCCCCCUUGCUGAAUAAACGGUGUGUUUUGCACCUGUGUUUUGACUGUGACCUGUCACAUGAAGACAAUGCAGAAUUCUUUGCUUGUGGCGGCAUAUCUGUGCUACAAAAUUUUGGGAUUUUGAGCAUUUCGGAUUUUGAAUUUUCAGGAUGCUCAGCCUGUGGUAGACACUAAACUAAUAUUUGUCAUGUUGAACACGCAUGUGGUGAGUGCCGACUGCAUCUGAAGCACAUGCACAGACCACAUGUGAAGUCUUGCCGACUUCAGAGUUCAGGAGCCUAGCAAGAGGUGAGAGAAACACAAACAACAUAAGUCAAAAGUGACGUGAUACGAGGUCAGGAGUUUGAGACCAGCCUGGCCAACAUGGAGAAACCCCGUCUCCACUAAAAAUAGAAAAAUACAAAAAUUAGCUGGGUGUGGUGACACAUGCCUGUAGUCCCAGCUACUCAGGAGGCUGAGUCAGGAGAAUCACUUGAACCCGGGAGGCAGAGGUUUCAGUGAGCCAAGAUCGCAC
rnacentral:lncRNA from 1 species